CUGGAUGUUAGCCCUUUGUCAGAUGAGUAGGUUGCAUCACUACCUUUCUAAAUCUCCCAUGUAUUGUAGAGGCUGAAAGCCUAAGAUUUAUGUUUCUCAGGAUCCCAGCAGGCUUCCAAUUUAGAUUUUCAGCCAAGUUUUGGGAGGCAAAGGAAAGGGAGCAAUCAUUUUCCCACGGCAGCUGUUUGCAGGCAUGCAGAUUUCAGCAGAUGGCAGUCAUGAGGUUUUGCCAUUAACUUUGGGUCUUCUGCAAAUCAUCCUGAUACUGAAGAUAAUUAUAUCAUUUGCAGGGGGUUCCAAUGAUUCCUGUAGUUUACUGAGCUCUUGAAGCAACUGUUUUUCCUGACCUUGACACUCAAGCACUUUUGAUCAUUCUAGAAGUACCCAUUUUCAUGUAUUAAAUACCUUUCUGUUUGAGAUACAUGAGUGUUUUCUAUUUUCCUGAAAGAAUCCUGACUGAUACAGUAUUUGGUACUGAAAGUGGUUCCAGGAAAUACAACUGCAAAGAUGGAGGGAAAUCUAAGAUGUGUUGUUAGGCAUGGAUUAGCUUGAAGCCAAUAAUGACCUCCUGGCUAGUGGAAAAUGGGUUUCUGGUAGUCCAUGGCAUGCAAUGUCUUAAGUUACGACCUGCCAUUCAUGGAAUCAAUUGCCUAUUAAAAGACACCAAGCACCUUUUUGAUAGAAUACUCUGGUGGAAGAGAUAAGUACAAGGGUUAAAGUUACUGAAUGCAAUGGAAAAUUUACAGAAAAAAUGCAGAACAAAAUACCCCAACAAUUUCAGGGCUUUAAAAUUUCAACUCAAGGGCGUAACUCAAAAGCAUUGGAGAAGCAUCAAAGAAGCUUCUACAACUGCCCCUGAAAUAAUCUUUUAUUGUAGCAGAAAUUGAACCUGGGGUUGUUCCUGCAAGGUGGCAGAAUUACAACCUAACUUGAAUUCACAGCCUCUUUAGGUGCUUCCAUGAAAGGUAAUUUAUUGGGAAGGACUGUGACCAGGAGUAUUAAAUUGGGAAACUUGUCAUUAGAGUCAUCCCAGUAGAAUUCGUAGAAAUCAGUUCAAAUCUGACCCAGGGGAAGACAGAAAACAUAUUAAAAGAACUGCAACAUUCUUCUAAUGUAUAUUUACAGAGACCUGAGGAUUAUGUGCAAGAAUGGAUUCUAAGGGACUUGGAAUUUGAUUUGACUGGGCCAAAUUUAUCAGUCUGGGUGCACUUAAAAGAAAUUCUGAAUUCAGUGGUUUACCUAGAGCAGCUGGAAGUGGCUCUAUUUGGUUGAAGGACUAAAACCUUGGACCAAAAAAAUGGCCUACGUUAAACAGAAUUGCUUUCCAGAAAUAUAAAAGAAGGAAUCCAAAGUCUUAGAAAAGAAUGCCAGAAUGGAUUUAUUAAUUGUGACCUGCUCCCCCAUCCUCUAACUCUAGUUUAUGAGAUUCCUGAGGAUGCUUUAUUAUAUCAGGCAUUGAAAAAUACGUUUUCAAGGUGAGCACCAGCAUCCUUGGAAGGCCCUGCUGUGGCCAUCGUCUGUAGGCUGGGGGUGAUGUAGCACAUACCCAUCUGGUGGAAAAUUGAUUACAACUGACCCCUUCCCUCAUGGAGUAGUCCGCAGUUUUUCAUCACAGUAGUAGACAUUUAUUUAUUCUGUCUAUGGAUGUGUCUCCCAGGCCCACAAGGCCUUUGCUGCCUCAUCACACAAACCUUACUAAAUGCCUCGUUAUUCAUCACGAUGGUUUUGCAUUUGGCAUUACUUCUUACAAGCUGAUUAAAACGCAACAGAUUAAAGUGCAACAGAACUGAAGCAAUGCACUUGGUGCCCAUGGGAUUCACGGAUCUUCCCAUAGGUCCCACCACCCAGAAGCAGCAUGCCUGAUAGAACAGUGGAAUGGCCCCAUGAAGGUUAUGCAACUGAGCCUGUUGAGAUCUCACAACGUGAGGCUGGAGUGCUCCUUUACAAAGUACCAUGUCUAUUAUGAAGCACAUUCAAUAGGAGCUGAUUCUUGUAUGGCCAGAAAACUUGGGUUUGGGAACCAAGGGAUAAGAAUGGGACUGGCUUCAUUUACUAUUGCACGUAAUAAUCAACACCCAAUAAAGCUUCGCUUCUUAUCACUGCAACUUUGAGCUCUGGAGGUUUAGAGACCUUAGUUCUCAAGGGAAGAAUGCCUCUACCAGGGAAUACGAUGGUUGAUUGCAUGGAGAGUUGAGACUGCCACCUGGACAUUUGGAGUUGAUUAUACCACUAAGCCAAUAGGCAAAGGAGAAGGUUAGUGUCGGCGCUGAAAAGACUGACCCCAAAUGUCAAAGAACAGAGAUUUGCUCCACACAUGGGGACAAGGAGGAAUAUGUCUGAAAUCCAUUACAUCCUUUGAAGAUGCUCUAUUUGAUUGUCCAAAGGGAGAAAUCAGUGGAAAACUAUAGCAACCCCAUACAGGAAAAACCAUCAAGAGCUCAGAAAUGAAUGAAUGGUCACCCCAACAGAUAAAGAACCACAUUCAGCUGAGGUUCAAAUUGGAAGAAGGCCAACUGUGGCCUCAGGAUCAGUUGCACACUUGAGAACAAUUGCAGCAGCCUGGAUUUUCAUGUUUUAUGUAUUUGUAUAUACCAAUUUCCCUUUAUUCCUUCUUUUCCCCAAGUGUUCACAUUGGUUACAUUUAUCACUGAUCUUUAGGAUAUAAGAUUAUGGUGGCCAUGGAGGUGUACCACCCAGAUCUACUUCAAAAGAACCUGCUGUGGGAAGCAUAGUUGAUGACGGCCUUCAGCUACUGCUCCUCCAGAUCCAUCAUGGCUGUCAGACCAACACUGCACUUCUACAGAGUAUACCCAGCCAAUGGCUGAGAGUGACGGGCCAACUUUUUUUGGGCCAUUACUGCUCAACCUGGCACCCUUUGCUCAGGAAUUCUUAUCAGCCUGGUCCAGACUUUCUCAGACCUGCAAUGGGGUCUAAAGAUGUUCUGCCUCCUCCUGCUCCCAAGAUCCUUUAUCCUUACCAGGCAUUUCCACCAAUAAAUCUCUUUCACAUAUAAUUCAGUCUUGGCAUCGGCUCUUGGAGGACCCAAACUGACAGGGAUGUGAAGCUGAGAUUGUGAUUAAACAGUCUCACUCAAAGAUGGAUAUGAUGAUUUUAUGAGACUUUUCAGAGAGGAACUGAGUGUUCUGUUUGCGUAGAGAAUGGUCGUAUUGUGUUAGGAGCAUGCUGUUGUUACUGUUCUUGUUUUCUAGAAAUUUUAAUAAAGAAGGUUGUGUGCAUACGCUGAGCAGCCAAAGUGGUAGGCUUGCUAGAUCGUGUCUCAGUAGGCACUCAAAAUCCAGUUCCCCUAAAUGCUAAUUCCAUUUUUCUGUGUCACGUUGCAGCUGCCUUACUCUAGUAUUCUGGAUGUGAUUUUGGGUCCCAUGAGAUGCACUUACUAGUAUCUGCAAUGUACAAUGCAGGCAGCAGCAGCGCCAGCUAAAGCUGAACUCUGGUAGAGUUGGAUUGGAUUUUUACAGUGACCUAACUCUUCAGUGUGAUAUUUCCUCCUGGUCAUCGGCUACAGGCUAUGAGACAGCCUGAGGGAGAGAGGGUAGCCAUGUUUCCCACUACCUCCCAACCACUGGCUGGUGCACUAGCCUCCUGGCCUUAGGUCGCAGCCACAAUGACAUGACCUCCUAAAAUCCCUGGCAAGCUGUAGGAGCAGCCCUGCAACCAAGCCUGCUCGUAAGGUAAGGGUUUCUGUUUACUAACCUAGAGCUGCUCUAUUCUUUCAUCCUUGUUCCCCUUUCAACCGUCUCUCGCAAGUACUAGUUGUGCAUUAAAUACGCAUUUUGUUUUGCAAAAUGAGAAGAGCUUAUAAAUACUUCAAAUUUUCUCCCUCUGUUUCACUCCUUUCCAUUUCUUUCUAAAAUUACAGUAAAAUAUUUUUGUCUUUAUACAAAACAAUAAUACCAUAAAACAAAACACUACAGAGUUGAAGCCCUCUGAGGAUCUCUCCAUUUCUUCCAGCCAUAACGAAUAUCCUGAACUUUGCAUUUCUUUUCCCUUUGCAGUUGCUUAUUUUUUCUACAUCUGAAUAUAUCCUUACACGUUUUUAAAAUUUAUAGAAAUAUCACACGGAAUACAUUUUUCUGUAACUUGCCUUUGCGCUGCCUUGUGAGAUUAAGCUAUGUUGAUCUAUUUAACUCCAGCUGAUGUAUGUAAUCAUUGCCUAAUGACAUUCUGUUGACUAUACCAAAAUUUAUUCAGGUCUCUGAUAAUGAGCAUUUAGAUUGGUUUGUUUUCUAUUUAUGAAUUUAGCAAUUAUGUGCUUCUAAUUUUUUGUUAUUAUAAACUAUGGUGCUAUGAAUAUUCCUGGAUAUGCUACCUUCAAAAUUUUAAAAUUUUAAGUGUUUGAAAAUACAGUCAUGUCAGGAUAUGUUCUGAGAAAUGUAUCAUUAGGCAAUUUCAUUGCUAGGCACACAUCAGUGUGUGCAAAUCUAGAUGGCAUUGCCUACUACACACCUAGGCCAUAUGGUGUAGUGUGUUGCUCUGACCACCAUCAUAUGUGUAGUUCAUCAUUGACCAAAAUGGCAUUCUGUGGCACGUCUGUAUUAAAAUUUUUUCGUGGAAAACCAUUUUUUAAAAUCUGUUUUACAUGAAUGAUAGUUUUUAGUGUCAACAAUUUAAAUAUGGCAGUUAUUUUUUUCUCAGCACAUUGGUGGUAUUAUUCCAACAUCUUUUAGCUUCCCUUGCUGCUGCUGAGAAGUCUGUUGAUUUGAUACUCCUCUGUAAGUAAUCCAUUUUUUCCUCGCAUAUGCUGAUUUUGAGAUCUUCUCUGCCUUUAUUAUUCUGCCAUUUCACUAAAAUGUGUUUGGAGAUAUAUAAAUUCUGCUUGGACUGUAUUGUGCUUCCAGAAUUGGAAGAUCAAUGUCUUUCAUUAACUAUGGAACAUUCUUGGUCACGGACUCAUUGAAUGUUUCCUUUUCUCCAUUAUUUCUAUUCUUUUCUGAAACUUCGGUAGUCAUAUGUUAGUCCUUUUAACUCCAUCUGCCUCGUUUCAUAACUUCUCUCUCAUGUUUUCCCUUAUUGCUUUUUAGCAUCCUGAGUAAUGUUCAGAUCCAUCUACUGGUUUACUGAUUAUAUUUUUAUUUCCAUAAAUUCCACUGGAUUCUUUUUCAAUUCUGCCUGGCCAUUUUUUGAUGGUAUUUUGUUUUCAGUCUCAUUUUAAGUUUCUUCCUUUAAAAAAAUAUUUUAUACAUAAUUAUUUACAUUUACUAUCUAAUAAUUUAAGUAUCUGAACUCUAGGUGUGUAAUCUUCUUUCCUGUUCUUUUUCAUGAUGGUUUGUUUUCUGUUUAUGAAUUUAGCAAUUGUAUGUUUUGUACUCACGUUUGGCUGAACUUAAUUCGUGGGAAUCUGUAGGAGACUGUAAAAAUAUCAGUGGUUGCCACAGUAUAGAUGAACAAGUGAAACACUGAGGAUUUUUUGGCAGGGAAGCCACUCUGUGUGAUUACUACAAUGGUGGCCACGUCAUUAUACACUCAUCAAAACCCAUAGCAUGUGCAAUGCAAACAGUGAAUCCUAAUGUAAACUCUAGAUUCUAGUUAAUCAUAAUGCAUCAAUAUUGGCUCAUUAAUUGUAACGUGCCACACUAAUGCAAGAUAUUAAAAUAGGAGAAAUUGGGAGGAGAUUGGGCGUAUGGGAAUCCAUUGUAUAAUACUUUCUGCUCAAUUUUUUUAUAAACCUAUAACUGUCAAAAGCGUAUUCAUUUUUUUAAAUGUAGAGAUAAAAAACUAAAAAAAAUUAACCUUUGUGAUUUUGACUUAAACAGGGAACCCUGUCUCAGGGUCAUGAGAGAAAAGAACCAAGUGUCUCCUUCCGUGAACUGAAGGGCAUCAAGAAGAGUGGCGUUUUAGUGGCAUAGGGGAAUUCACUUUCUUUUGCCAUCUUAUGUUGGUCUGGCCACACAAGCUAUUUUGUUUCCACUCAGUGAAAAGAUGUGCUUGCUACCCCACAGCAGAUGCUCCACAGAUGCUCGUGUGAGAACGGAAAGGAAGAGAGGACAGAGAAGGAAAAGGGGUGGGUCCAAAGCUUAGCAAUUAAGUUUAUCACCGGUAAACAUGGUGGCUAGCAGCAUUUGAGACCCCAAUCCUAGCAAGAAGGGGUACUGAGGAGCACAUACCAGCGAGCUUCUCGUGGAUCCUGAGAUUACAGUAUAGGCUUUCCCCUCCUUUUCUGUCUCCUCCUGGAUCCAUGGAAUUGAGCCACACACACAAACAUACCAGGUCUCCCCCUGGAGCCAGAUCUUAUGCCCCACCUGAAGACACCCACUUGGAAGAGUCUCUGGGUUCCAUAAAUAGCACAAACCAGAGGUGCGCCACUGUCUCCCUGGGAAUUAGAAAAGGAAGAACAGUCUGCAAUCAAUGGUACCUCCAGCAAGAACAUGGAGGGGAAAAUGGGAGGGUCCUAGUGGUGUAGGCUAAGGCCCCCGAUUUGGGAACCUAGAAAGUGAUGGGGUACCUGGCGGGAGGAGAGGGCUGGGCAGGGGUGAGUACCUUGCAGAUACCAUUGGUGCCUGGUUCCUUCCAAGCACAAAUCAUGUUCCUGGACAGCUGGUUUACCCUCUUGGCGCAUUCUUUCUGGCUAAUCUGCACCACUCUCAGCUUUUCCAGGCGCAUGUUUAAGUCAUCAUAUUGGUCUGACAAAGGGAGAAAGCUGGUGUCAGAGUGAGCACUGCAUCAGCCGCCAACAGUGAACAGCCCACACGCGAUCAGCAUGGAAGCCUGGGAGGCCAUCAACGUCCAGCAGAUCACAAAUUCACAGGGCAUGGAGGCCUGGGAUGACUUCGAUCUCCUCUCCAACAGCCCCAACAAGAAGUUCCUCCACUAAAUGUGCUUCCUGUGGGAAGCUCAUUCUCUCCAGAAGCAGCCCACAAAAGCCCCAGCCUCAGCCCCUGCCAGGGGAAUUUGGAAUGAAGGUCCUCCCUGGCCCCACCAUCUCUUCAAGCCAGGCUUUGCCCCAUGUAGAGGAUCAGAGCAGCCCAACCUCUGAAUUGGUGUUGUCCAGUGUCUUCACCAAGCCAAAUGGGGAAACCAAGAAGAAGACACAUCUGGUCAUGCCACUUUGUAGGAAGAAACUGACCACAAUGCCAGGGGAACUCUUGGCCUUCUCCCCACCACACUCCUACCCUCCCAGAGAUCUUCCCUGGCCAGGCAGCCUGGUGCCUUGCAGGGAAAGGGGUGGAGACAUCUGUAACGGAGCUUGGUUGGAGAAUCACUGGCUCAGAGCUAUCUCAGGAUGGUAUUUUACAUGGGGUGGCCAAUAGAUGGGGAGAUGGCCAUCGUGAAAGAGCCACAGGUGGGAAGAUCCAAACUGGCUUAUCACGCUUUUGGCUCCAAAAAAUUAUCAUGGGUCUCAUAUUUUGAGAUUCUUCUAUGUCCUAGGCUUUUACUGGGGACCUCAUUUAAUUUAAUCCCCGUACCUUUUUUGAGGAGGCGUUCCUGGCAUUCUGAAGGUGAGGAAGGUGAAGGAGCUCAAGAGAGAUAAAGCCACAAUUCAGACCCAAGCAUUCCCGCACCCAAAGCAUCAUGCUCUCUAGCCCAAGGUACCCUACAUUGGGGCUUUCUAUGGGUUCUGAAAAUGGGGCAUGUACCAUACCCAUUGGUCGUUACCCACUCUGCCAUCCAACACCGAUGCCAGGUCCUCUCCUCCUCCUGCAGGCAGACAGGCAUUUUCAAAUUGCUGAAUUGCACUGGUGUGGCAAGUAGAAGCAGAGAGAGGUCACUGUCGAGCUGGGGCGGUUUGUAAUCUUUGUGAAUAAUGACCUUCUGCACUUGCUUUCUCGCCGAGUGAAUGUUGCUGAAUGUUCUUGUUCCCAUGACCACAGUGACAUUUACCACAGCCAUGUCUAAUCUAAAGAAUGAAUAUAAAAACACCAGUGCUAACAAGGGUGAUAGUGCAGUUCACAUUCAUAGACACAUUUGUAAACAGUAAGUUGACAACUAAGGAGAAGUCCAGUGCAGUGGGUGAGCUACAGUGGUCUGGAGCAUGGCCAGGAUCAGAUAGGUAGGAAUCAGGAGCCCAAGCUCUGACAAAUCUCUGAACCAGUGGGUUGACAGUCCAGGGAAAGUCUCCUGACCACAAGAGGAGGAACGAAUCCCUCUGAGAGAUGAGACUGUAAGCUCCUUGAUGACAGGGACCUUGGCAGUCUUGUCAACUCCUAUGUCCGCAGCACUUGGAACGGUACACAGUAGGUGCUCAACGGGAAGGUGUUCAAUCAGUGACUCCAGGGUGUUGUCUUCAUACAGAUGACAGGCAGGAGAGAGUGUAUUGGAUGUACUGGGUGCACAGCUCUGACUAGCAGCCCCCAUUUGAAUACGGUUGGCUAAAUAAAGGGGAGAGAGUGGGUGUACAGCAGAGACCGUGGGUUACAAAGCCAAUGUAACAUUUUGCACAUAGAACCUAGGGCUUCAUAGGCCUGUGCACUGGCCUACUGAGCGGCCCAGCCCAGACAAUACAUUGACAAGACGGGAUGUAGAUGAAGACACUUACAGGGUUCUUGGGAAGCAAUGUGCGGCUGUCAGAACCCACCACCGAUGUAUGAUUGAGCCUCCACAGAGGUGUUUCCGAGACAUCUGGAUACUCACCUGCCACGGGAACUCACCAUUCUGGACUUGAAGCUGUUCAUGAAAUGGUAACCAUGAUGAGUUUGGAAAAGCAGGCCUGUGGCCACAUUGAAUGUUUUCUGAAAGAGAAAGGAAAGAGCCAUUUGUACGUGAGAAGCAUGGAGAGAUCCUUAUCUGUUAUUCCCGGAAUCUUCCCAAGUAAGACCAGUGCUGAAAGCUGAGCAAGGUGGCACAAACAGGCCAAAGAGAGGGAGAGCUCAGAAAACACCAGCAACCUGCACCUUUUUCUGUGUCCAUUCUUCACAGCCACAGAGAGCGGAGAGACCUGGGGAAGUCUGAGCAGGGCUCUUUCAGAGGUGUAUAGGGUUAGAGUGGCCAUGGAGAUGCACCAAAGAGACACAGGGUCCACUCCGGAGAUGGAAACUGUGCAGUGAUUUGAACAAGGAAAGCUUAACAGGAAGAAUCACAAACUGUAACCGGGGAGCGACUACAAAGCAUGAGGAACACUCUAAGAUAUGGCAGGGCAGGAGGAAAGUAUCUGAGGAGGAGCCGAACUUGGCAGGGGAGCCUCUCCCCUUCCCCAGGAGUGGGACUCACAACACAUUGAAGAAGGUGUCUGCAGCCCAGCGGAAGACAGAGACAUUUGCCGGGUUGCCCCAGGCCGGAGCUGAUGCCCUUUGCUAGAGAAGCGGAAUGCACCCCUCGGGAGUGCAGGUGGCCAGGAAACGGUGGCCAGGACUGGCAACAAGGAACACCCCUCUGGAGAGCAGGUGGACUGGUGCAGCACACAGGUGCCUGCAGGGAGCUCGUCAAGAGCCGGCCCACUGGCUAGGGGGGGUGCAAGAGCUGGGUGUGUGUGUCUGUCUUGGGACAGCUGCAGUGAAAAGGUGUAGAGGGCUCAGGGGAUUUCGAGGCUGAUCCAAGAAAAAGAUAUGAUCACGAGGUGGUGACAGCACACACAAGUUUCAUUUGGGAAAUGCUUUGGGAGAUUGCAUGCAGGGGCAGCCCUUUACAGCAUGAGACUAUCUGGAGGUUAAGGAGACACCAUCCAGAAGAGGAA